AUCUGAUAUAGUAUAAUUUUCCCUGAUUGGAUUUACUGAAUUUCAGCUGCAUAGGACUCUACAUUACACUCCUACAUAUUAGUUUACUAUGUGGUUUGUAGCCUGGUCCACCAUAGGAGCUCUUUUGUGAUCACCACAGGAUUAUAUAAAUCCAU